rnacentral:rRNA from 1 species
UACGUAGGGUGCGAGCGUUAAUCGGAAUUACUGGGCGUAAAGCGUGCGCAGGCGGCGCGUUAAGACAGGUGUGAAAGCCCCGAGCUUAACUUGGGAAUUGCGCUUGUGACUGGCGUGCUGGAGUGUGGCGAGAGGGAGGUGGAAAUUCCACGUGUAGCAGUGAAAUGCGUAGAGAUGAUGGAGGAACACCGAUGGCGAAG